rnacentral:rRNA from 1 species
GGCGCUUCACACCCACCUAGAGGAGCCUGUUCUAGAACCGAUAACCCCCGUUUAACCUCACCUUCUCUUGUUUACCCCGCCUAUAUACCGCCGUCGUCAGCCCACCCUGUGAAGGCCCACUAGUGAGCAAAAUUGGUACAACCCAAAACGUCAGGCCGAGGUGUAGCGUAUGAGAAGGGAAGAAAUGGGCUACAAUUGCUAAAACAGCUAAAACGAAUUGUUUACCGCUGAAACUGCACGCAUGAAGGAGGAUCUAGUAGUAAGGGAAGAAGCAGAGUGUUUCCCUGAAAUGGUUCUGAAGCGAGCACACACCGCCCGUCACUCUCCCCGAGUUAGAACAAUUUUUCUAUAAAUAAACCCCUAACCCCUACAAAGGGGAGGCAAGUCGUAACAUGGUAAGUGUACCGGAAGGUGCACUUGGAAAUAUC